rnacentral:rRNA from 1 species
UACAGGGGGGGCAAGCGUUUGUUCGGAAUUACUGGGCGUAAGGGCUCGUAGGUGGCCAACUAAGUCAGACGUGAAAUCCCUCAGCUAACUGGGGAACUGCGUCUGAUACUGGAUGGCUUGGAGUUUGGGAGAGGGAUGCGGAAUUCCAGGUGUAGCGGUGAAAUGCGUAGAUAUCUGGAGGAACACCUGCGGUGUACGACGCUUUCU